GCAGCCACUCAUUCAAAGAGUGCGUAAUAGCUCACUGGUCGAGUGAUCCUGCGCCGAAGAUUUCCGGGGCUAAAACUUACUACCGAAGCUACGGCAUCAGUAAUGAUGGGUAGGGGAGCUUCCCAUACGGGUUGAAGCAUGACCGUAAGGACAUGUGGACAGUAUGGGAGUGAGAAUGUUGGCAUGAGUAGCGAGAUGUGGGUGAGAAUCCCACAGGCCGUAAACCCAAGGUUUCCAGGGGAAGGUUCGUCCGCCCUGGGUUAGUCGGGACCUAAGCUGAGGCCGAAAGGCGUAGGUGAUGGACAACAGGUUGAUAUUCCUGUACUACCGAUAACCGUUUGAGAGAAGGGAUGACACAGUAGGAUAAGCUAAGCACACUGUUGGUUAUGUGUGCCCAAGCAUUGAGGCAGUCAAAGUAGGCAAAUACGCUUUGAUAAUGCUGGGAUGUGAUGGGGAGCGAAAUUUAGUAGCGAAGUAGCUGAUUUCACACUGUCAAGAAAAGUCUCUAUCGAGGUUAAAGGUACCCGUACCGCAAACCGACACAGGUGGGUGAGGAGAGUAUCCUAAGGCCA
rnacentral:rRNA from 1 species